UUCUCACCACUAGAUCUCUGUCCCGCCCUGUACACACGUGUUCCUCAGGCUCCCUGCACCACUUUCAACUGGUCCAACUGCUGCUCAGAUCAUCGCCACUUCAAGAAAACAUGAUCAUAGAACUGCUCCUUUCACACAUCAACUGUGGAACAUGUUCUUACAAGUGGGUCGGACAUUUUCUGGAGCUGAAGCAGCAGCAGGAGAUUGUCCGGGUCCGACUCGUUCACAGCAACAGGAACAUGUGGGAACAUUCAGACGAGGGGCGGAGCAAAAACACAGAUCUCCAUGACAACCAUGGUUACGUUAAGUUAUGUUAAGUUACAGGUUCACUGUGAAGGAGUUAGUGACGUCUCCAGGUGUCGUACAUGUGAACGUAGUCCACUUGUCCACGUGAACAACUCCUGAACAUGUCCAGCAAGAUAUUUAGAGACAUCUAGUGGUGAAGUUACAUAUAACAAACAACUGAACCCCGAGGACACGAGGACUUUCAAGCGGUUUUCAGUCAUGAACUCUGUUAAACAGUGUCUGGACAUUUUUCUGGAGUUUGACUUUCACAUAUGAAGAACAUGUGGAGCAGCAGGAGGCGGAGCCUGUAGAGCAGCAGGAGGCGGGACAUAACGUAUAAACUCUGCUGUGGGAAGAUCAGUGUUGUUGUUUCCAGCUCCUCCACACGGCGUCGGCCUCAUCACCAGAAGAUCUGGAAUCUCCUCGUGUUUCCAAGUUGACGUCUUCGUCUUCUACGUGUCCGGCUCCUCUUCUUCAUCCUGAGAUGUUUGUGUUCUUCAGGUUUCACGUCUGUCUCACGUGUUUGUGUCCUCAACACGUCCACUCACUCUCUGUGAAUCCUCUGGACAUUCACCGGCUCUAUUCUCACAUGGACUCACUCAGAAACUUUAUUAGGAGGCUGCAGGAGAAGAUCCAGAAAAGAGACAGUGAUGUUUAGUCAAUGUCCUUUAUUUUCUCACAUGAACUCAAUUUAAUUUACAGUUAAAUUUUAUUCUUUAUCCAGGUUGAAGAGCUGCAGUCUGUCAGAGAUCAGCUGUUCUUCUCUGGCUUCAGCUCUGAGGUCAAACCCCUCUCAUCUGAGACAACUGGAUCUGAGUAGAAACAACCACCUGCAGGACUCAGCAGUGAAGGAGCUGUGUGGUUUUCUACAGAGUCCAACCUGUCGACUGGAGACUCUGGGGUUGAAGGUCUGCAGUCUGACAGAGAUCAGCUGUUCUUCUCUGGCUUCAGCUCUGAGGUCAAACCCCUCUCAUCUGAGAGAACUGGAUCUGAGUCUAAACGACCUGCAGGACUCAGGAGUGAAGGAGCUGCUUGAUCUACAGCAGAGUCCAACCUGUCGACUGGAGACUCUGAGCUGGUGGUCUCCGUGGAGCUGAGUGUGAAGAGGACAGUGUGUGUGGACGGAGGCUGAGCUGUGUCCUGAGGAUCCAGAGGCUGAAGCAGCAGCAGCUUGUGUGUAGUCUCCAAUCUACACAACCCCUAAUCUGCAUGUGUUUGUGAGAUGAAGCCGGAGCACCUGGAGAAAACACGUGGAGAACAUGCAGACUCCACACAGGAAGACCCAUCUGAACCGGAUUCAAACCAGCAACCUUCCUGCCCCGAUUGUGUUUAUUCACAUGAAGAAUGUGUUUAUUGAAAUGACACAACACAAGCAGAAUAUAUAAACCCUCUAUAAAGAGUCACAUACAGUGUGUUUAAGUUAGUCUUUAUUAUUGUCCACCUUUGUCCCUCAGUCUGUCUCCAUGUGUGUAGAACCACAUUCUGUGUAGAUGUUUGUUUAUGAUCUUAAAGUUCCUGGAUUCACGUCACAAAUUGAUUUAGUUCAACACAAAGUUAAACACAUUGAAAUCACUUUGAGUUUAAAAUCAGAGUUUUGUCUUUCACACAAAAGAUCAAAACUCUGGACUUAAAAAUGGGACGUUUUCAUUUCUGCAUCAGGUGCAGAGCGGUGGUGGCUUUUCUACUUUUGACCCACAGGUGGCGCUGCAGUAUAACAGCAGCACAUCCCAGUCAAAGCCUUUAUAUUCAGUCUAUGAGUCAAACACAUGGAUCAUUUCCUCUGUGACAAACCAGAUGUAACGAGAAGAAAAACAUCUCAGAGAGAAAAGUUCUGUUUCUACUUGUCUCUGCUUUAAUGCUCAAUAAACAUCCUUCCACCGACUGCACUGGAA